rnacentral:pre_miRNA from 1 species
GUAAUACUCCCUCCGUCCAAUAAAAGAUGUCUCAAGUUUGUUAAAAUUUGGAUGUAUCUAGACAUGACAUUCAAAUUUAGUCAAAGUUGAGACAUCCUUUGUUGGACAGAGGAAUAUAAU